UACGAAGGGGGCUAGCGUUGUUCGGAAUUACUGGGCGUAAAGCGCGCGCAGGCGGUCUUCCAAGUCAGUGGUGAAAGCCCGGAGCUCAACUCCGGAAUUGCCAUUGAAACUGUGAGACUGGAGUACGAGAGAGGUGAGUGGAAUUCCCAGUGUAGAGGUGAAAUUCGUAGAUAUUGGGAAGAACACCGGUGGCGAAGGCGGCUCACUGGCUCGUAACUGACGCUCAGGCGCGACAGCGUGGGGGAUCAAACAGG
rnacentral:rRNA from 1 species